AGACGCACCUGUUAGCGUUUAGUAGUCAAGACGAUACGCAGGUAUUAUUUUUCUGAACCUGUUGCGAUACGACAGAGAAAACGCGCUAUUUAGGCUUCGAAAGUCAAGGUAAGAUUGUUUAUUUUGAGUCAGUUUUCUUAAUUAGAAUUAGUUCAUUAGAAAGAGUAUCAAUCUCUCUAACGAUCUGUUAUUUGUCAGGUGUCAUGGGGUCAUGGAUGCUGGUUCUGUGUACCACAGUCACUCUGAUGCCUGUGUGUCUUCAUGGAGCAAUAUCAGUCCGCUUUAAGACCGGACGGCCUCUCUAUGUGGCACUCGGCCGAACUCUUGUUUUGGAAGUCGAAUUCAAGAAGGACUCGGACGACAAAAUAGACAUGGUGACGUGGGACCGCGAGAGAGGAAAUGUCACUGUCAGACUGUCACAUGGAAACAGAAUAUCUUUGGAGAACGGAGAUGCACUUCUGCGGGUCACUGAUGUUGCAGAAGGGGACCUUGCGACCUACAAAGUCACCGUUACAGACAGUAACGGAUACCAGCAGCAAGACUCCAUAGAAGUACAAAAGAUAGAAUCUCAGCCCUGUUGUGCGGGACUGAUUGCAGUCGGAGUUGUAACAGCAAUAGCACUUGUGGCCGGACCAAUUUUCCUGAAGAUGCACAGAAAACACCAUUAAAAUAAGUUAUCCCUACUAAGUUCACAUAGAAGAUUUUAUUAUUUAUUUACAUGUUAAUAUACCUGUAAACAGUUUAUUUUGAUCAUAUUGUUUAUUCUAAACUGUUGAUUUAAUAAAGUUCAUGUUUUAUGUCA
ensembl:lncRNA